rnacentral:rRNA from 1 species
GACGAACGCUGGCGGCGUGCCUAACACAUGCAAGUCGAACGGAGUAAAACGCUGAUUUGAAGUUAGUUACUAAUGAAUUUUCUGUUUACUUAGUGGCGGACGGGUGAGUAACGCGUGAGCAACCUGCCUCUGAGAGAGGGAUAGCUUAGGGAAACUUAAGGUAAUACCUCAUGACACAUUUUUAUCGCAUGAUUUAGAUGUCAAAGAUUUAUCGCUCAGAGAUGGGCUCGCGUCCGAUUAGGUAGUUGGUGGGGUAACGGCCUACCAAGCCGACGAUCGGUAGCCGGACUGAGAGGUUGAACGGCCACAUUGGGACUGAGACACGGCCCAGACUCCUACGGGAGGCAGCAGUGGGGAAUAUUGCGCAAUGGGGGAAACCCUGACGCAGCAACGCCGCGUGAAGGAUGACGGUUUUCGGAUUGUAAACUUCAACAAUCAGGGACGAAGAAAGUGACGGUACCUGACUGAAGCCACGGCUAACUACGUG